rnacentral:SRP_RNA from 1 species
GCCGAGCCAGGAAGCGUUGGCUUGUAACCUGGUCGGUAUGCUCUUGGGUCUGGGCCUGUGGUUCGCACUAUGCGGCCCCCCCGUUCCAAGUUGUGUAGCGUGUGUGAGGCGCCUGGGCGAAGGCUCAAGCGUCCCUGCACCUAGAGUGGCGGGUAUUGCGUGAGGCUGGUUUCACAGAACAGCGAGUACCGCCCGCUUCUAACGGUGGAAGGAUGACGGGCCCACUGCAGCCCUGGCCCGCUUCCGGUCCAAGUGCCUUCCA